rnacentral:lncRNA from 12 species
UUCAUCCAAUCAUUGAUUUAUUCCUGUGUUUGUAGCGUGAAAGGCUGUGAUAACGUUUUCAGCAGUCUCACACCUAUUCAGACAGAGUACGUCUACAGUUUCAUACGAGACUAUCUUUACCAUCAGCCCAGCCAAGGAGAUUCUUGUGUGUUGAGUACUAACAGUGACUCUGAUUGGCUGCUGAAAAACUUUGGACGGUUCCGCUUCAUCGCCAACUUUACUGACUUUAUCAGCUUGAAGAGAGACUUUAAUGGGGUCGAGGCGGCAGAGUUUCUGACUGUGUCCCAGCUGGCUGAGCUUUGCUCCGACCCGUCACGUCUCAGCGGACCAGCGGAUGUUCAGACUGUGAUGAAUGAGCUUCAAACGCAGACACUUUCCGAGUUUUUUGAUGUUCUUUCUCCAAACAUCCAACUGAAUGAACUGGGCUACUCUGCGGAGGUGAAGCGGGCCUUCCUGCAGACAGUGUUUGUGCGAGGCGAUCUGUCAUCUCCUUCAGUCAGUGAUGCUGAGCUGUCAGUCUGGCUCACGGUUCGACUCAGGCUGCUGCUGUCCACUUUGAGCUCAGCAGAAGUUACGGUGUAUUUUGACAUCGUCAGGGCUCGAGGCUGCAGUGUCAAACAGGAGGCGUAA